ensembl:lncRNA
UAAUAAAACAUGCAGGGAUUAAAGAGCCUCCUCAUGUGAUCUCAUCUCACAGUGAUCUUCAACAACAGUGCAUUAACUACGUGUUCAGUGUGCUGCUGCUGUCCAUUGCUGCACACCCAACAGGUGACCUCAUGGGUGCCUUGGAGUUCCCCUCCCUCCAGUCCCACACUUUCCAUUGCGGCUGCUGUGCCAGUGCUGUGCUGGGCUUCGUGUUGCUGUUGGUCACAGUCAAAUUAAAAAGUGGAUUUUCCCUGGAGCACUUUGGGGUCUGGAUUUUUUUGUCAAAGGUUUGCCUUUGUCAUGUAAAUAAUAAUAAAUAAUCAUACUGAUUGAUGAACUGGUCUUAAAUCUUAGAGCAGGUCUAACAAAGCCAAACUUCAUGGCACGUCCCUCC